rnacentral:rRNA from 1 species
GACGAACGCUGGCGGCGUGCUUAACACAUGCAAGUCGAACGGUGAAGCUCCAGCUUGUUGGUGUGGAUCAGUGGCGAACGGGUGAGUAACACGUGAGCAACCUGCCCCUGACUCUGGAAUAAGCGCUGGAAACGGCGCCUAAUACUGGAUACGAGACGGGCCCGCAUGGGCACUUUCUGGAAAGUUGUUCGGUUGGGGAUGGUCUCGCGGCCUAUCAGCUUGCUGGUGGGGUAAUGGCUCACCAAGGCGGCGACGGGUAGCCGGCCUGAGAGGGCGACCGGCCACACUGGGACUGAGACACGGCCCAGACUCCUACGGGAGGCAGCAGUGGGGAAUAUUGCACAAUGGGCGAAAGCCUGAUGCAGCGACGCCGCGUGAGGGAUGACGGCCUUCGGGUUGUAAACCUCUUUCGGCAGGGAAGAAGCGAAAGUGACGGUACCUGCAGAAGAAGCACCGGCUAACUACGUG